CCUACGGGAGGCUGCAGUGGGGAAUAUUGGACAAUGGGGGCAACCCUGAUCCAGCCAUGCCGCGUGUGUGAAGAAGGCCCUCGGGUUGUAAAGCACUUUCAGUGAGGAAGAACGCCUGGUGGUUAAUACCCAUCAGGAAAGACAUCACUCACAGAAGAAGCACCGGCUAACUCCGUGCCAGCAGCCGCGGUAAUACGGAGGGUGCGAGCGUUAAUCGGAAUUACUGGGCGUAAAGCGCGCGUAGGUGGCUUGAUAAGCCGGUUGUGAAAGCCCCGGGCUCAACCUGGGAACGGCAUCCGGAACUGUCAAGCUAGGGUGCAGGAGAGGAAGGUAGAAUUCCCGGUGUAGCGGUGAAAAGCGUAGAGAUCGGGAGGAAUACCAGUGGCGAAGGCGGCCUUCUGGACUGACACUGACACUGAGGUGCGAAAGCGUGGGUAGCAAACAGGAUUAGAUACCCUUGUAGUC
rnacentral:rRNA from 1 species